AUGAAGCUAUAUCUUAUUCAACAGCUAAAAGAUUUUAAUGUCCCAGGUUAUAGAACUCAGAAUGCAUGGAGUAAAGAGGCAUGGAAUAAGAUUCUGGAUAACAUAAACAAAAAGUUUGGCUUGUCACUAGAUGUUAAAAAAGUGAAACAAAAGGAACAGGAUCUGAAGAAAGACUUCUGCAUUAUGAAAGAGUUGGCAGCUGAGAGUGGCUUUGGUUGGGACCGUAUCGGAAUGAAAGUUGUUGCCCCAGAUGCCGUUUGGGAAUCAUUUGCGGAGCGUCGUAACACGGAUGCACUCAUAUGGAGAGACAAACACUUUCCAUAUUAUGAUGAUUUAUUUGCAUUGUAUGAAGGACGGUAUGCUGAAGGAAGGAAUAGGCGUGGCAUGGACUAUUAUGCAGAUAGGGAUAAAGAACCAUCACAAACCAAAUUUGCAGAAUCACAAGGGACCAAUGAUUAUGAUGGAUCACCCUCACCUAAUAUAAAUGCUGCUGAUUUUCCCAUUGAAGAAGAAGGUGAGAAAGACACUUCUGAUUUUCCCCAGCAGCAAUGCCCAUCAAGGCGCUCCACACAAAUGAAUUCUCAGUUUGUGAAAACACCGGAAAUGUGUGGAGCAAGACCCACAAAGAGGCAGAAAAAUAGUGAUUUUCAAGAGAAGUACUUGAAGCUCAAGAAAGAAGAAAUUGAACGGUUUGCAGCUAUUGAGGAGAAGAAGCUUGAGGAUCCCUAUAGCAUCAGUAGGUGUGUCACAACACUUGAACGUCUACCUGGUCUACAAAUGGCUGAUAUGGUGAUGGCUGCUGAUAUCUUCAAAAGCAAGGAGAAUAGAGAGCUUUUCCUAUCAUUUUCUACGGAUGAACCAAGGUUAGCCUGGCUCAAAAGGCAGAUUGGGCAUAUCUAA
rnacentral:rRNA from 1 species